AUAUUAGGGAGGAUAUAACAUCGGAUUCCAUGUCGGAAACGGGCGUAAUCAAUCCGGCUUUGACCAGCGACUGGUUUUCUACCACGUAUAAACCAUACCAAACCGCUGCACUGAUCGUUAGCCAAUCAAUCUCGUCAAAGCGUCGAAAGGAGGAGAAGUGCCUCCUUUGUGUUCGAGCAAAUGCUGUAGAUAAGAUGUUGACGGAACAACGGGGUGAGAGCUCCGCGGACUGGGCUGGGGAAGCGGGAGCGCGUCAAGGAUGAUGUUUCCGCGGCUGGAAGAGCACGAGCAGUCUCCCCCUCCAAUCCCAUUCCUCUUGGACUUUCAUCUCUCUCUACCUAAGACUUCACUCGAUAUUAUUCCCACCUUAUCUAUCUGGGAUUAACCUCUUUCCAUACACCCCACUCAUCUCCCUCUCGGUUACCUCGUCGCCCUCGUUAUUCAUCUCAACGCUGCUUCUACAGAUGAAGAUCUUAUACCAAUCCAUUAAUCCAAAUGGGCAACCAGCAUGCCCUCUUAAAGGUUCUGCCAUGGAUGCCUGUCAACAACGUUUUCAAAUGGGUCUGCCUCUGCAUGGUGUUUCCUCCCUGAAGGCAUACCCAUUAAGCUCGUUGAAGAAUGCCUCUGUCAACAUUGCAGGCAGGGAAUCCAGACAAGGACGGCCUUCAUAUGCUGUAUCUGAUGUUGGAACCGACCCUGAUGCACGCAUUGACAUAUUCGAUGGAUCCACCAGUAGCAUUUGCAAUCUUUCUCAUUCACUUGUAAACGAACACAAAGUUGGACAUGUCGAAAAUUGCAACAGGCCGGUGUGCGGCCUGGAGUUUCAGCCCUUAACUCCGAGUUUCAUGCAUGCUAUCAUGGAGGAAGAGAAGUACAGUGUGACACAAGAUGCCAGCAAAGAGGGCGAUCAAAACUCUUCCAAGCCAAGUGAUGUUCUUGUCAUUUCUGUCUCUUCUGCUGUGAAAUUGGAUGAUAGGCAGAUCAAUCUCAUCUCAAGAAAGAUGCAGAGGCUGACAGGGUUCAGAAAAUUGAGACUGGAAAACAUUGUCGAUCCAUCGCUGAUUGCAGGCUUUGUCAUUAGCUACUGUGACGAUGGGUCACAUAUUAUUGAUCUGAGCGUGAAAGGUCAGUUGGCUAUGCUCGCAGCAAGGCUUGAAUCCUCAGAUCAGAAGAGUGCUAACACAGUUGGAGAUUUCCUGACAGCAUGAAUUGAACUGCAUCAAGUAAAUACUCACUAGUUAAAACCAUGAACUAAGACACUAGGAAGAGGCUUGAUCUUGUUCUGUUCAGAUCUAAGUUUUUAGUCUAAGAGAUGUGUAUACUGGUAGGAUGUUAACUUUUUUGUGUAUUAAUAGUAAAUAUAUCAAUGGAGUUUCUAAUA